UACGUAGGGCGCGAGCGUUGUUCGGAGUUACUGGGCGUAAAGCGUGCGUAGGCGGUUGUCUAAGUUUGGUGUGAAAUCUCCUGGCUUAACUGGGAGGGUGCGCCGAAAACUGGGUGACUGGAGUGUCGGAGAGGUAAGCGGAAUUCCUGGUGUAGCGGUGAAAUGCGUAGAGAUCAGGAGGAACACCUGUGGUGUAGACAGCUUACUGGACGAUAACUGACGCUGAGGCACGAAAGCGUGGGUAGCAACAGG
rnacentral:rRNA from 1 species